AUUGAACGCCAGCGGGAUGCUUUACACAUGCAAGUCGAACGGCAGCGCGGACUUCGGUCUGGCGGCGAGUGGCGAACGGGUGAGUAAUGUAUCGGAACGUGCCCAGUAGCGGGGGAUAACUACGCGAAAGCGUAGCUAAUACCGCAUACGCCCUACGGGGGAAAGCAGGGGAUCGUAAGACCUUGCACUAUUGGAGCGGCCGAUAUCGGAUUAGCUAGUUGGUGAGGUAACGGCUCACCAAGGCGACGAUCCGUAGCUGGUUUGAGAGGACGACCAGCCACACUGGGACUGAGACACGGCCCAGACUCCUACGGGAGGCAGCAGUGGGGAAUUUUGGACAAUGGGGGCAACCCUGAUCCAGCCAUCCCGCGUGUGCGAUGAAGGCCUUCGGGUUGUAAAGCACUUUUGGCAGGAAAGAAACGUCGCGGGCUAAUACCCCGUGGAACUGACGGUACCUGCAGAAUAAGCACCGGCUAACUACGUG
rnacentral:rRNA from 1 species